AUGAACGCUGGCGGCGUGCCUAACACAUGCAAGUCGAACGCGAAGCCCGUUUUCGAAUGGGCAGAAAGUGGCGUCCGGGUGCGUAACACGUAGCUGACCUGCCCUGCACCGGGGGAUAACAUACGGAAACGUGUGCUAAUACCCCGUACGCUCCUGGGAACUAGAGCCCCAGGAGGAAAGCUACGGCGGCGAAGGAGGGGGCUGCGGUCCAUCAGCUAGUUGGUGAGGUAAUGGCUCACCAAGGUGACGACGGAUAGGGGACCUGAGAGGGUGACCCCCCACACUGGAACUGACACACGGUCCAGACUCCUACGGGAGGCAGCAGUAAGGAAUAUUGCACAAUGGGCGAAAGCCUGAUGCAGCAACGCCGCGUGCAGGAUGAAGGUUUUCGGAUCGUAAACUGCUUUUCUGCGGGAAGAGAAAGGCGGUACCGCAGGAAUAAGUCCCGGCUAACUACGUGCCAGCAGCCGCGGUAAAACGUAGGGGGCAAACGUUAUCCGGAUUUACUGGGCGUAAAGCGCGUGCAGGCGGUUUUUUAAGUCGUGCGUGAAAGCGCCCCGCUCAAACCGGGCGAGGUCGUGCGAUACUGGGAAACUUGAGACAGACAGAGGCAAGUAGAAUUCCGGGUGUAGUGGUGAAAUGCGUAGAGAUCCGGAGGAAUACCAGUGGCGAAGGCGGCUUGCUGGGUCUGUUCUGACGCUCAGACGCGAAAGCAUGGGUAGCGAACGGGAUUAGAAACCCCGGUAGUCCAUGCCGUAAACGAUGCAGACUAGGCGUUGAUGCACGUUGGUGUGUCAGUGCCGCAGCUAACGCGGUAAGUGUGCCGCCUGGGGACUACGGCCGCAAGGCUAAAACUCAAAGGAAUUGACGGGGGCCCGCACAAGCAGCGGAGCGUGUGGUUUAAUUCGAGUCUACACGAAGAACCUUACCUAGGUUUGACAUAUAAGUGGUAGUGAACUGAAAAGGGAACGACCUUCGGGAGCUUAUACAGGUGCUGCAUGGCUGUCGUCAGCUCGUGUCGUGAGAUGUUCGGUUAAGUCCGGUAACGAGCGCAACCCUCGGCGUUAGUUACAAGUGUCUAGCGCAACUGCCCGGGACAACUGGGAGGAAGGUGGGGAUGACGUCAAGUCAGCAUGGCCUUUAUGUCCAGGGCUACACACACGCUACAAUGGCCGGUACAAUAGGUUGCCAACCCGCGAGGGGGAGCCAAUCCAUCAAAGCCGGUCUCAGUUCGGAUUGUAGGCUGCAACUCGCCUGCAUGAAGUUGGAGUUGCUAGUAAACGCAGGUCAGCUAUACUGCGUUGAAUACGUUCCCGGGCCUUGUACACACCGCCCGUCACGUCAUGGGAGCUGGUCAUGCCUGAAGUCGGUGGGCUAACCGCAAGGAGGCAACCGCCAAAGGCAGGGCUGGUGACUGGGACGAAG
rnacentral:rRNA from 1 species